rnacentral:rRNA from 1 species
AGUGAACGCUGGCGGUAGGCCUAACACAUGCAAGUCGAACGGCAGCACAGUAAGAGCUUGCUCUUACGGGUGGCGAGUGGCGGACGGGUGAGGAAUACAUCGGAAUCUACUUUUUCGUGGGGGAUAACGUAGGGAAACUUACGCUAAUACCGCAUACGACCUACGGGUGAAAGCAGGUGAUCUUCGUACCUUGCGCGAUUGAAUGAGCCGAUGUCGGAUUAGCUAGUUUGCGGGGUAAAGGCCCACCAAGGCGACGAUCCGUAGCUGGUCUGAGAGGAUGAUCAGCCACACUGGAACUGAGACACGGUCCAGACUCCUACGGGAGGCAGCAGUGGGGAAUAUUGGACAAUGGGCGCAAGCCUGAUCCAGCCAUACCGCGUGGGUGAAGAAGGCCUUCGGGUUGUAAAGCCCUUUUGUUGGGAAAGAAAAGCAGCAGGUUAAUACCCCGCUGUUCUGACGGUACCCAAAGAAUAAGCACCGGCUAACUUCGUG